AUACGGAGGGGGCUAGCGUUGUUCGGAAUUACUGGGCGUAAAGGGUCCGUAGGCGGUUUGUUAAGUCUCCUGUGAAAGUUCAGGGCUCAACCCUGAAAGGUCGGGGGAUACUGGCAAACUCGAGACUGUCAGAGGCAAGUGGAAUUCCCGGUGUAGUGGUGAAAUGCGUAGAUAUCGGGAGGAACACCAGUGGCGAAAGCGGCUUGCUGGGACAGUUCUGACGCUGAGGGACGAAAGCGUGGGUAGCAAACCGGAUUAGAAACCCCAGUAGUCC
rnacentral:rRNA from 1 species